rnacentral:rRNA from 1 species
UACGUAGGGAGCAAGCGUUGUCCGGAAUCAUUGGGCGUAAAGAGCGUGUAGGCGGCCCGAUAAGUCCGCCGUGAAAGUCCAGGGCUCAACCCUGGAAUGCCGGUGGAAACUGUCGGGCUAGAGUCCGGAAGAGGCGAGUGGAAUUCCUGGUGUAGCGGUGAAAUGCGCAGAUAUCAGGAGGAACACCAAUGGCGAAGGCAGCUCGCUGGGACGGUACUGACGCUGAGACGCGAAAGCGUGGGGAGCAAACAGG